AUGGAAAAGAAAUGCAAAAAAGCAAAAUGGCUGUCUGGGGAGGGCUUACAAAUAGCUAUGAAAAGAAGGGAGGCAAAAAGCAAAGGAGAAAAGGAAAGAUAUAAGCAUCUGAAUGCAGAGUUCCAAAGAAUAGCAAGAAGAGAUAAGAAAGCCUUCUUCAGUGAUCAAUGCAAAGAAAUAGAGGAAAACAACAGAAUGGGAAAGACUAGAGAUCUCUUCAAGAAAAUUAGAGAUACCAAGGGAGCAUUUCAUGUAGAGAUGGGCUCGAUAAAGGAUAGAAAUGAUAUGGACCUAACAAAAGCAGAAGAUAUUAAGAAGAGAUGGCAAGAAUACACAGAAGAACUGUACAAAAAAGAUCUUCAUGACCCAGAUAAUCACGAUGGUGUGAUCACUCACCUAGAGCCAGACAUCUUGGAAUGUGAAGGCAAGUGGGCCUUAGAAAGCAUCACUAUGAACAAAGCUAGUGGAGGUGAUGGAAUUCCAGUUGAGCUGUUUCAAAUCCUGAAAGAUGAUGCUGUGAAAGUGCUGCACUCAAUGUGCCAGCAAGUUUGGAAAACUCAGCAGUGGCCACAGGACUGCAAAAGGUCAGUUUUCAUUCCAAUCCUAAAGAAAGGCAAUGCCAAAGAAUGCUCAAACUACUGCACAAUUGCACUCAUCUCCCAUGCUAGUAAAGUAAUGCUCAAAAUUCUCCAAGCCAGGCUUCAGCAAUAUGUGAACUGUGAACUUCCAGAUGAUCAAGCUGGUUUUAGAAAAGGCAGAGGAACCAGAGAUCAAAUUGCCAAAUCCACUGGAUCAUGGAAAAAGCAAGAGAGUUCCAGAAAAUCAUAUAUUUCUGCCUUUUUUGGCUAUGCCAAAGCCUUUGACUGUGUGGAUCACAAUAAAUUGUGGAAAAAUCUGAAAGAGAUGGGAAUACCAGAACACCUAACCUGCCUCUUGAGAAAUCUGUAUGCAGGUCAGGAAGCAACAGUUAGAACUGGACAUGGAACAAUAGACUGGUUCCAAAUAGGAAAAGGAGUGUGUCAAGGCUGUAUAUUGUCACCCUGCUCAUUUAAUUUAUAUGCAGAGUACAUCAUGAGAAAUGCUGGGCUGGAAGAAGCACAAGCUGGAAUCAAGAUUGCCAGGAGAAAUGUCGGUAACCUCAGAUAUGCAGAUAACACCACCCUUAUGGCAGAAAGUGAAGAAGAACUAAAAAGCCUCUUGAUGAAAGUGAAAGAGGAGAGUGAAAAAUUUGGCUUAAAGUUCAACAGUCAGAAAACUAAGAUCAUGGCAUCCAGUCCCAUCACUUCAUGGGAAAUAGAUGGGGAAACAGUGGAAACAGUGUCAGACUUCAUUUUUGGGGACUCCAAAAUCCCUGCAGAUGGUGAUUGCAGCCAUGAAAUUAAAAGACGCUUACUCCUUGGAAGAAAAAUUAUGACCAACCUAUAUGUCAUAUUCAAAAGCAGAGACAUUACUUUGCUGACUAAGGUCCGUCUAGUCAAGGCUAUGGUUUUUCCUGUGGUCAUGUAUAGAUGUGAGAGUUGGACUGUGAAAAAGGCUGAGUGCCAAAAAAUUGAUGCUUUUGAACUGUGGUGUUGGAGAAGACUCUUGAGAGUCCCUUGGACUGCAGGGAGAUCCAACCAGUCCAUUCUGAAGGAGAUCAGCCCUGGGAUUUCCUUGGAGGUAAUGAUGCUGAAGCUGAAACUCCAGUACUUUGGCCACCUCAUGUGA
rnacentral:lncRNA from 1 species